ACGCUUCUUUUCUACCGAGUGCUUGCACUCAUUUGAAAAGAGGAGUGGCGGACGGGUGAGUAACACGUGGGUAACCUGCCCAUCAGAGGGGGAUAACACUUGGAAACAGGUGCUAAUACCGCAUAAUAGUCGACACCGCAUGGUGUUGAUUUGAAAGACGCUUUCGGGUGUCACUGAUGGAUGGACCCGCGGUGCAUUAGCUAGUUGGUGAGGUAACGGCUCACCAAGGCGAUGAUGCAUAGCCGACCUGAGAGGGUGAUCGACCACACUGGGACUGAGACACGGCCCAGACUCCUACGGGAGGCAGCAGUAGGGAAUCUUCGGCAAUGGACGAAAGUCUGACCGAGCAACGCCGCGUGAGUGAAGAAGGUUUUCGGAUCGUAAAACUCUGUUGUUAGAGAAGAACAAGUAGGAGAGUAACUGCUCUUACCUUGACGGUAUCUAACCAGAAAGCCACGGCUAACUACGUGCCAGCAGCCGCGGUAAUACGUAGGUGGCAAGCGUUGUCCGGAUUUAUUGGGCGUAAAGCGAGCGGCGGCGGUUUUCUUAAGUCUGAUGUGAAAGCCCCCGGCUCAACCGGGGGAGGGUCAUUGGAAACUGGGAGACUUGAGUGCAAAAGAAGAGAGUGGAAUUUCCAUGUGUAGCGGUGAAAUGCCUAGAUAUAUGGAGGAACCACCAGUGGGCGAAGGCCGACUCUCUGGUCUGUAACUGA
rnacentral:rRNA from 1 species